GGCUGGCCCGAUGGUGGUGGGUUAUCAAAACUUACUAGCAUCACUAAAGUUGGUAUUCAACUCCCCCACUGCUAAAUUUGACUGGCUAAAU
ensembl:misc_RNA Y_RNA Y RNA